UCCAAAUCAAAGGUAUCAAUAUUAAGCUAAAAAUGAGAUUUUUAAGCUAAAAUCAAGAAAAAACCUUACUCAUCUCUAAUCUGAAACAGACCCUUUACUCAAAAACACAAAAUCAACAAGAAAAAUUGAAUCUUGAAGUUGAUAAACACUGUAUAAAGAAUAUAAGACUAAAGAUACAUAUAUAACAAUGAGAUUUAGAGGGGAAAAGGGUUAACUUAAAUUACCUUCAAAACCCUCAAAUUUCAGUAGCAGAAAAGAUUGGAUCUUGAAUAAAAAUUCAAUCUUUAUGAAGAAAAAUUGGAUCUUGAGGAGGGUUUGUAAAAAAAGAGUUCUUUUCUGAAGAAAUGAAAAAUGGGGAUUAAACUAUUAAGCAGACAAAUGGAACAGAUCUGUGUAGAUUUUG
rnacentral:misc_RNA from 1 species